UGGGGAAUAUUGGACAAUGGGGGCAACCCUGAUCCAGCAAUGCCGCGUGUGUGAAGAAGGCCUGAGGGUUGUAAAGCACUUUCAGUGGGGAGGAGUGAUGCUAGGUUAAGAGCUAAGCAUUUGGACGUUACCCACAGAAGAAGCACCGGCUAACUCCGUGCCAGCAGCCGCGGUAAUACGGAGGGUGCAAGCGUUAAUCGGAAUUACUGGGCGUAAAGGGUGCGUAGGUGGUCUGAUAAGUUAUCUGUAAAAUCCCUGGGCUCAACCUGGGCAGGUCAGAUAAUACUGUUAGACUCGAGUAUGGGAGAGGGUAGUGGAAUUUCCGGUGUAGCGGUGAAAUGCGUAGAGAUCGGAAGGAACACCAGUGGCGAAGGCGGCUACCUGGCCUAAUACUGACACUGAGGCACGAAAGCGUGGGGAGCAAACAGG
rnacentral:rRNA from 1 species